AGCAUAUCAAUAAGCGGAGGAAAAGAAACUAACAAGGAUUCCCCUAGUAACUGCGAGUGAAGCGGGAAAAGCUCAAAUUUAAAAUCUGGCAGUCUCUGGCUGUCCGAGUUGUAAUCUAGAGAAGCGUUAUCCGCGCUGGACCGUGUACAAGUCUCCUGGAAUGGAGCGUCAUAGAGGGUGAGAAUCCCGUCUUUGACACGGACUGCCAGGGCUUUGUGAUGCGCUCUCAAAGAGUCGAGUUGUUUGGGAAUGCAGCUCAAAAUGGGUGGUAAAUUCCAUCUAAAGCUAAAUAUUGGCGAGAGACCGAUAGCGAACAAGUACCGUGAGGGAAAGAUGAAAAGAACUUUGGAAAGAGAGUUAAACAGUACGUGAAAUUGCUGAAAGGGAAACGCUUGAAGUCAGUCGCGUUGGCCAGGGAUCAACCUUGCUUUUGCUUGGUGUACUUUCUGGUUGACGGGUCAGCAUCAAUUUUGAUCAUUGGAAAAAGAUUAAGGGAAUGUGGCAUCUUCGGAUGUGUUAUAGCCCUUGGUUGCAUACAAUGGUUGGGAUUGAGGAACUCAGCACGCCGCAAGGCCGGGUUUUUAACCACGUACGUGCUUAGGAUGCUGGCAUAAUGGCUUUAAUCGACCCGUCUUGAAACACGGACCAAGGAGUCUAACAUGCCUGCGAGUGUUUGGGUGGAAAACCCGAGCGCGCAAUGAAAGUGAAAGUUGAGAUCCCUGUCGUGGGGAGCAUCGACGCCCGGACCAGACCUUUUGUGACGGUUCCGCGGUAGAGCAUGUAUGUUGGGACCCGAAAGAUGGUGAACUAUGCCUGAAUAGGGUGAAGCCAGAGGAAACUCUGGUGGAGGCUCGUAGCGAUUCUGACGUGCAAAUCGAUCGUCAAAUUUGGGUAUAGGGGCGAAAGACUAAUCGAACCAUCUAGUAGCUGGUUCCUGC
rnacentral:rRNA from 2 species